CCAGGCCAUCCUCUAAAAGCCUUCACCUCACUGUGCAUGCAAAUGUACUGACAUCUGCCUGCUGCCAUUCCAGAGCAAGUUCUACACUGGUAGAGACCCUAUCCCA